UAGCUUGCUAACUCCUGUUUCUAGCGGCGGACGGGUGAGUAACGCGUGAGCAACCUGCCUUUAUCAGGGGGAUAACGCAUCGAAAGAUGUGCUAAUACCGCGUAAGACCACAGCCUCACAUGGGAAGGGGUCAAAGGAGCAAUCCGGAUAAAGAUGGGCUCGCGUCCGAUUAGCUAGUUGGUGAGAUAACAGCCCACCAAGGCGACGAUCAGUAGCCGACCUGAGAGGGUGAUCGGCCACAUUGGAACUGAGACACGGUCCAAACUCC
rnacentral:rRNA from 1 species